AUACUUACCUGGCAGGGGGAGAUACCAUGAUCACGAAGGUGGUUUUCCCAGGGCGAGGCUUAUCCAUUGCACUCCGAAUGUGCUGACCCCUGCGAUUUCCCCAAAUGUGGGAAACUCGACUGCGUAAUUUGUGGUAGUGGGGGACUGCGUUCACACUCCCCCCCC
rnacentral:snRNA from 1 species